rnacentral:rRNA from 1 species
UACGUAUGUGGCAAGCGUUGUCCGGAUUUACUGGGCGUAAAGAGCGCGCAGGCGGUCGUUCAAGUCGCGUGUGAAAGCCCCCGGCUCAACUGGGGAGGGUCACGCGAUACUGAUCGACUCGAAGGCAGGAGAGGGUAGUGGAAUUCCCGGUGUAGUGGUGAAAUGCGUAGAUAUCGGGAGGAACACCAGUGGCGAAGGCGACUACCUGGCCUGUUCUUGACGCUGAGGCGCGAAAGCUAGGGGAGCAAACGGG